rnacentral:snRNA from 1 species
AUACUUACCUGGCGUAGGGGACACCGUGAUCAACAAGGCGGUUCCCCCAGGGCGAGGCCUGUCCAUUGCACUGCGGACGGGUUGACCCUUGCGAUUACCCCUAAUGUGGGUAACUCGGACGCGUAAUUUUUGGUAGUGGGGACUGCGUUCGCGCCGUCCCCC